GGGGCAGGUAGUUGGGCAAGUAGGUUGGGGCAGGUUGUUGGGCACGUAGGUUGGGGCAGGUUGUUGUGCAAGUAGGUUGGGGCAGGUUGUUGGGCAAGUAGGUUGGGGCAUGUAGUUGGGAAAGUAGGUUGGGACAGGUAGUUGGGCAAGUAGGUUGGGCAAGUAGGUUGGUACAGGUAGUCGGGCAAGUAGUUAAACAAGUAGGUUGGGGCAGGUAGUUGGGCAAGUAGUUGGACAAGUAGGUUGGGGCAGGUAGUUGGGCAAGUUGUUGGGGCAUGUAGUUAGGGCAGGUAGUUGGGCAAGUUGUUGGGGCAGGUAGUUGGGCAAGUUGUUGGGGCAGGUAGUUGGGCAAGUUGUUGGGGCAGGUAGUUGGACAAGUAGUUAGUUGCAGGUAGUUGGGCAAGUUGUUGGGGCAGGAAGUUGGGCAAGUAGUUGGGGCAGAUAGUUGGACAAGUAGUUGGGGCAGGUAGUUGGGCAAGUUGUUGGGGCAGGUAGUUAGGGCAGAUAGUUGGACAAGUAGUUAGGGCAGGUAGUUGGGCAAGUUGUUGGGGCAGGUAGUUGGGCAAGUUGUUGGGGCAGGUAGUUGGGGCAAGUAGUUGGACAAGUAGUUAGGGCAGGUAGUUGGGCAAGUUGUUGGGGCAGGUAGUUGGACAAGUUGUUAGGGCAGGUAGUUGGGCAAGUUGUUGGGGCAGGUAGUUGGGCAAGUAGUUAGGGCAGAUAGUUGGACAAGUAGUUAGGGCAGGUAGUUGGGCAAGUUGUUGGAGCAGGUAGUUGGGCAAGUUGUUGGGGCAGGUAGUUGGGCAAGUUGUUGGAGCAGGUAGUUGGGCAAGUUGUUGGGGCAGAUAGUUGGACAAGUAGUUAGGGCAGGUAGUUGGACAAGUAGUUAGGGCAGGUAGUUGGGCAAUUUGUUGGGGCAGGUAGUUAGGGCAGGUAGUUGGACAAGUAGUUAGGGCAGGUAGUUGGGCAAGUUGUUGGGGCAGGUAGUUGGACAAGUAGUUAGGGCAGGUAGUUGGGCAAGUUGUUGGGGCAGGUAAUUGGACAAGUAGUUAGGGCAGGUAGUUGGGCAAGUUGUUGGGGCAUGUAGGUGGGGCAGUUAGUUGGACAAGUAGUUAGGGCAGGUAGUUGGACAAGUUGUUAGGGCAGGUAGUUGGGCAAGUUGUUGGGGCAGGUAGUUGGGCAAGUUGUUGGGACAGGUAGUUAAGCCAGGUAGUUGGGCAAGUUGUUAGGGCAGGUAGUUGGGGUGGGUAGUUAGACAAGUAGUUAGGGCAGGUAGUUGGGGCAAUUAGUUGGGCAAGUAGUUAGGGCAAGUUGUUGGGGCAAUUAGUUGGGACAAGUUCUUUGGGGCAGGUAGUUGGGCAAGUUGUUGGGGCAAUUAGUUGGUACAAGUAGGUUAGGGCAGGUAGUUGGGCAAGUUGUUGGGGCAAUUAGUUGGGACAGUAGGUUAGGGCAGGUAGAUGGGACAGGUAGUUGGGCAGGUAGUUAGGGCAAGUAGUUGGGCUAAGAGGCUUAAAGUAGAUGACGGCGACUUUAACGUUGUAAGAAAACGGAGUUGCCCUAGUGCUGCUGAUGAUAACUUCUCUGGGUAGGUUGAGGUCAGUGAGGAACUGGCUGCUAGUGAUAAAUGUACGUCUAGAACCAGGCUUUGAAAUGGGCAAACAAUUAGGGCACAUCUUAAUGGAACC
rnacentral:sRNA from 1 species